CAAUAGCGUAUAUUUAAGUUGUUGCAGUUAAAAAGCUCGUAGUUGGAUUUCGGAUGGGAUUUGCCGGUCCGUCGUUACGAUGUGCACUGGCCAGUCCUAUCUUGUUGUCGGGGACUAGCUCCUUGGAUUAACUUCCUGGGACUAGGAGCUGACGAGGUUACUUUGAGUAAAUUAGAGUGUUCAAAGCAAGCCUUCGCUCUGAAUACAUUAGCACGGAAUAACACGAUAGGACUCUGGCUUAUCUUGUUGGUCUGUGAGACCAGAGUAAUGAUUAAGAGGGACAGUCGGGGACAUUCGUAUUUCAUUGUCAGAGGUGAAAUUCUUGGAUUUAUGAAAGACGAACUUCUGCGAAAGCAUUUGUCAAGGAUGUUUUCAUUAA
rnacentral:rRNA from 1 species